CCUACGGGCGGCAGCAGUGGGGAAUAUUGGACAAUGGGCGAAAGCCUGAUCCAGCCAUGCCGCGUGUGUGAAGAAGGCCUUCGGGUUGUAAAGCACUUUCAGUGGGGAAGAAAGCCUUGGGGCUAAUACCCUCGAGGAAGGACAUCACCCACAGAAGAAGCACCGGCUAACUCCGUGCCAGCAGCCGCGGUAAUACGGAGGGUGCGAGCGUUAAUCGGAAUUACUGGGCGUAAAGCGCGCGUAGGCGGUCUGAUAAGCCGGUUGCGAAAGCCCCGGGCUCAACCUGGGAACGGCAUCCGGAACUGUCAGGCUAGAGUGCAGGAGAGGAAGGUAGAAUUCCCGGUGUAGCGGUGAAAUGCGUAGAGAUCGGGAGGAAUACCAGUGGCGAAGGCGGCCUUCUGGACUGACACUGACGCUGAGGUGCGAAAGCGUGGGUAGCAAACAGGAUUAGAUACCCCUGUAGUC
rnacentral:rRNA from 1 species